rnacentral:rRNA from 1 species
AACGAACGCUGGCGGCAUGCCUAACACAUGCAAGUCGAACGAACCCUUCGGGGUUAGUGGCGCACGGGUGCGUAACGCGUGGGAAUCUGCCCUUCGGUUCGGAAUAACAGUUAGAAAUGACUGCUAAUACCGGAUAAUGACGUAAGUCCAAAGAUUUAUCGCCGAAGGAUGAGCCCGCGUAGGAUUAGCUAGUUGGUGAGGUAAAAGCUCACCAAGGCGACGAUCCUUAGCUGGUCNGAGAGGAUGAUCAGCCACACUGGGACUGAGACACGGCCCAGACUCCUACGGGAGGCAGCAGUGGGGAAUAUUGGACAAUGGGCGAAAGCCUGAUCCAGCAAUGCCGCGUGUGUGAAGAAGGCCU